UACGGGGGGAGCAAGCGUUGUUCGGAUUUACUGGGCGUAAAGGGCGCGUAGGCGGCCACCGCAAGUCACUUGUGAAAUCUCCGGGCUUAACCCGGAAAGGUCAACUGAUACUGCGGGGCUAGAGUGCAGAAGGGGCAACUGGAAUUCUCGGUGUAGCGGUGAAAUGCGCAGAUAUCGGGAAGAACACCCGUGGCGAAGGCGGCUCUCUGGGACGGUACUGACGCUGAGACGCGAAAGCGUGGGGAGCGAACAGG
rnacentral:rRNA from 1 species